UCUUCGGGGCCGGCGGGACUGGUUCCCUUCUUGCACUCGGUGCGGUCAUUUGGGGACGACCUCCUCGACUGGACCCGAUUUGCCUCCAGUACUCAAGAGAUAGGGGACAGGACGCUGAUGAAAGCAGUCUCGCCCUGCAUCUAGCAGGCUCAGAAAUCUGUCAUCCCUAAGUGUAUCAGCCUCCAGGAGAGGACGUAACCCCCUAAAUAGGCCGGAAAGAAUUAUUUUCCAUGUUAUGGCCGGGGCUCAUCCUGGUCAGUAUUUCUCCUUACACGGGAAAACAGGUAAUUUACACAGGGACUGGAAAGCAAAAGAGUGGUUGUUGGAAAUGGAGUGGGAGACAAGUACUGGAAAGGACCCCAAGCAAAUCUUUGUCAUGAAGCCAGCGUUCUAGAUCUUGAUGUGGUGUUAAUUACAAAAGGAGUGUGACUUUGUCAAAAUUCAUCUAACUACGCACUUUAUAUUUUAUAGACUAUAAAUUAUGCAUCAAUAAAGUUGAUUAAAAAUAGA